rnacentral:rRNA from 1 species
UACUGACGCUGAGGUACGAAAGCAUGGGGAGCAAACAGGAUUAGAUACCCUGGUAGUCCAUGCCGUAAACGAUGUCUACUAGCCGUUGGGGCCUUUGAGGCUUUAGUGGCGCAGCUAACGCGAUAAGUAGACCGCCUGGGGAGUACGGUCGCAAGACUAAAACUCAAAUGAAUUGACGGGGGCCCGCACAAGCGGUGGAGCAUGUGGUUUAAUUCGAUGCAACGCGAAGAACCUUACCUGGCCUUGACAUACUAGAAACUUUCCAGAGAUGGAUUGGUGCCUUCGGGAAUCUAGAUACAGGUGCUGCAUGGCUGUCGUCAGCUCGUGUCGUGAGAUGUUGGGUUAAGUCCCGCAACGAGCGCAACCCUUUUCCUUACUUGCCAGCAUUUCGGAUGGGAACUUUAAGGAUACUGCCAGUGACAAACUGGAGGAAGGCGGGGACGACGUCAAGUCAUCAUGGCCCUUACGGCCAGGGCUACACACGUGCUACAAUGGUCGGUACAAAGGGUUGCUACACAGCGAUGUGAUGCUAAUCUCAAAAAGCCGAUCGUAGUCCGG